CAGAAUCCCGUCCCAUAAGGAGAAAAGCCGUGAACUGGCAGGAUCUGUCAGCAGAUCAGUUGCAGGAUGUCAGGGCCCCAACACCAACUGGAAGUACUCUGGCUCCAGCUUCUGCCCAGACCACCCCUUUUUGGUUUGAUUAUCCGGAUGACAACUCGGAUAAGGUGGCUUCUGUGUAUCAGGCAAUUGGCGAGAUACCCAAGAUCUUCACCACAGAUAAAUUUCCCAAAAUUUUGCUGUGGAUCACCUUUGGAGGACUUGGAGUUUUCGGUUUUGUUGUUGUGUCACAGAUAUUACUCAG